rnacentral:rRNA from 1 species
AUUGAACGCUGGCGGCAUGCUUUACACAUGCAAGUCGAACGGCAGCACGGGUGCUUGCACCUGGUGGCGAGUGGCGGACGGGUGAGUAAUACAUCGGAACGUAUCCUAAAGUGGGGGAUAACGCAUCGAAAGAUGUGCUAAUACCGCAUACACUCUGAGGAGGAAAGUAGGGGAUCGAAAGACCUUAUGCUUUUGGAGCGGCCGAUGUCUGAUUAGCUAGUUGGUAAGGUAAUGGCUUACCAAGGCAACGAUCAGUAGUUGGUCUGAGAGGACGACCAGCCACACUGGGACUGAGACACGGCCCAGACUCCUACGGGAGGCAGCAGUGGGGAAUUUUGGACAAUGGGCGCAAGCCUGAUCCAGCAAUGCCGCGUGAGUGAAGAAGGCCUCGGUUGUAAAGCUCUUUCAGUUGAGAAGAAAAGAAUUGUGUACUAAUAAUUAGUCAAUUACAUAGACGGUAUCUAACAGAAGAAGACACCGG